UCCCUGGUGGUUCAUACGGUAAAGAAUCUGCCUGCAAUGUAGGAGACCCAGGUUCGAUACCUGGGUAGGGAA
rfam:TPA: Bos taurus chromosome 5, whole genome shotgun sequence.